rnacentral:rRNA from 1 species
UGCAGUCGAACGCUUCUUUUUCCACCGGAGCUUGCUCCACCGGAAAAAGAGGAGUGGCGAACGGGUGAGUAACACGUGGGUAACCUGCCCAUCAGAAGGGGAUAACACUUGGAAACAGGUGCUAAUACCGUAUAACAAUCGAAACCGCAUGGUUUUGAUUUGAAAGGCGCUUUCGGGUGUCGCUGAUGGAUGGACCCGCGGUGCAUUAGCUAGUUGGUGAGGUAACGGCUCACCAAGGCGACGAUGCAUAGCCGACCUGAGAGGGUGAUCGGCCACAUUGGGACUGAGACACGGCCCAAACUCCUACGGGAGGCAGCAGUAGGGAAUCUUCGGCAAUGGACGAAAGUCUGACCGAGCAACGCCGCGUGAGUGAAGAAGGUUUUCGGAUCGUAAAACUCUGUUGUUAGAGAAGAACAAGGAUGAGAGUAACUGUUCAUCCCUUGACGGUAUCUAACCAGAAAGCCACGGCUAACUACGUGCCAGCAGCCGCGGUAAUACGUAGGUGGCAAGCGUUGUCCGGAUUUAUUGGGCGUAAAGCGAGCGCAGGCGGUUUCUUAAGUCUGAUGUGAAAGCCCCCGGCUCAACCGGGGAGGGUCAUUGGAAACUGGGAGACUUGAGUGCAGAAGAGGAGAGUGGAAUUCCAUGUGUAGCGGUGAAAUGCGUAGAUAUAUGGAGGAACACCAGUGGCGAAGGCGGCUCUCUGGUCUGUAACUGACGCUGAGGCUCGAAAGCGUGGGGAGCAAACAGGAUUAGAUACCCUGGUAGUCCACGCCGUAAACGAUGAGUGCUAAGUGUUGGAGGGUUUCCGCCCUUCAGUGCUGCAGCUAACGCAUUAAGCACUCCGCCUGGGGAGUACGACCGCAAGGUUGAAACUCAAAGGAAUUGACGGGGGCCCGCACAAGCGGUGGAGCAUGUGGUUUAAUUCGAAGCAACGCGAAGAACCUUACCAGGUCUUGACAUCCUUUGACCACUCUAGAGAUAGAGCUUCCCCUUCGGGGGCAAAGUGACAGGUGGUGCAUGGUUGUCGUCAGCUCGUGUCGUGAGAUGUUGGGUUAAGUCCCGCACGAGCGCACCUUAUGUUAGUGCCAUCAUUUAGUGGCACUCUAGCAAGACUGCCGGUGACAAACCGGAGGAAGGUGGGGAUGACGUCAAAUCAUCAUGCCCCUUAUGACCUGGGCUACACACGUGCUACAAUGGGAAGUACAACGAGUCGCAAAGUCGCGAGGCUAAGCUAAUCUCUUAAAGCUUCUCUCAGUUCGGAUUGUAGGCUGCAACUCGCCUACAUGAAGCCGGAAUCGCUAGUAAUCGCGGAUCAGCACGCCGCGGUGAAUACGUUCCCGGGCCUUGUACACACCGCCCGUCACACCACGAGAGUUUGUAACACCCGAAGUCGGUGAGGUAACCUUUGGAGCCAGCCGCCUAAG